rnacentral:misc_RNA from 1 species
GUAGGUGAACCUGCGGAAGGAUCAUUACCUUUCAGUACAGAAGCGUUGUGUUGGUUGAGUUGUGCCGGUUGAGUCUCGCUCACAAGUGGGGUUCCUGGUAGCAACUCCCUUCAUAAUUCUUCCUGUCUAUCAUCCUUGUCUUUUGCGUACUAUUGUUUCCUCGGCGGGCUUGCCCGCCGGCUGGACAACCUUAUAACCUAUUUAGUUUUCAAUCAGCGUCUGAAAUACUAUAAUAAUUACAACUUUCAACAACGGAUCUCUUGGUUCUG